CGAAGGAUGCAAGCGUUAUCCGGAUUCAUUGGGUUUAAAGGGUGCGUAGGCGGACCUGUAAGUCAGUGGUGAAAUCUCUUUGCUUGACAAAGAAACUGCCAUUGAUACUGCAAGUCUAGAGUAUAGAUGACGUUGGCGGAAUAUGACAUGUAGUGGUGAAAUACUUAGAUAUGUCAUAGAACACCGAUUGCGAAGGCAGCUAACGAAACUAUAACUGACGCUGAGGCACGAAAGUGCGGGGAUCAAACAGGAUUAGAUACCCUGGUAGUCCGCACCGUAAACGAUGAUUACUCGUUGUUGGCGAUAUGACAGUCAGCGACCAAGCGAAAGCGAUAAGUAAUCCACCUGGGGAGUACGCCGGCAACGGUG
rnacentral:rRNA from 1 species